UACGAGGGGGGCGAGCGUUGUUCGGAAUUACUGGGCGUAAAGCGUGCGUAGGCGGUUCGUUAUGUCUGCUGUGAAAGCCCCGGGCUUAACCUGGGAAUGGCAGUGGAAACUGGCGGGCUUGAGUGUGGCAGAGGGGGGUGGAAUUCCGCGUGUAGCAGUGAAAUGCGUAGAGAUGCGGAGGAACACCGAUGGCGAAGGCAGCCCCCUGGGCUAACACUGACGCUGAGGCACGAAAGCGUGGGGAGCAAACAGG
rnacentral:rRNA from 1 species